ACACCAGACAGUAGACAGAGAACAAGAGGAAGCAGAUUCCAGAAGCAGCAGCUGAGAUCCACUUCUAGAGGCUGCCCGCAUUCUUUGGCUCAUGGCCCUCUUCCAUCUUCGCAGGAGUAAUAGUGAGUCCUUCUCAGAUCACCUCACUCUGACUCUCCCGCCUCCCUCUUCCAUUUCUAAAAACACUUCUGACGGCAUGAGGCCCACCUGGACAAUGUAGGAUGAUCUCCACAUCUCAAGAUAACAUCAGAGGAGCAAAAACAAAAUCUCCCCGGCUCACUUCUCCGCCAUUAUGUAAGUAGAAAUUGCAAGACUUGAAAGAGAUAUAACAUAUACUUAAAAUACCAUUUUGAUUACAGAAGAGGUAGUUCAGGAAGCUAAACCCCUAUAUUUAACAGUGAUUCUCAGGGGUGAGGAGAAUUUGAUAGCAUUUCUUAAAGGCAUGAGUGAUUAGUAAUAAAAAUGUGCAUGUAAAAUUGCCUCUGAUUUUUAGCCAGCAGAAGAAAAAAGCAGACAUCUAGGAAGGAUAUCAUGUGCGUAUCAUGUACAUCGUAUCUUGUAAAAAAGAAAGUCUAAAUACUUGGAAGUGCCAGGUGACAAUCCAGAUAGCUGAGUUGUUACCAUGCUUUUCAAUUUGGCUUUAGGAAAAUAAUGACAUGUUCAUGCAAUAGCAGCUACUACAUUUUAAGUGGACACAUAAAUAAAAAUAAAUUUAUAGCAGCUUAUCAAAUGCAAUUCUUUUUAAAAAUAACAAAGUAUACGGCUAGAGAUAAAAACAGUAAGCAAACAUAUUAUGCAAAUUAUUUUUAAAUCUGUUUAAAUGAAUCAUUGAGAAAGUGUUAAAAUACAAAGAUGAAUAGCACUAUGGAUUAUGAAUCAUGUGGAAUAUUUAUUGUUACACAGUAACAUAUGAAUUCGGUAAUAUUGACCUAAUAAAGCCCAGAUAGCAUUUACAUUAGAAUCUGCAAAUAAAUAGCUUGUUAAUUCACAUUAUCUUCAGAAAAUGGGUUUGAUUUCUAUUAACCUUGACUCUUGUCAAGCAGUUAAUAUGACAGAAGAAAUAACAAAUGCUCUUUUACCAUUAAGCUAUAGCAAGAAGACCUCUAUUUCCAGUAUUUAGAACCAUUUCACGGACUGUUAGGGGAAUCGAAAGAUCACCCCGCCAUAGAUCUUCAGUUUGCUCAUUAUGGAUGAAAUAAAUAUACAAUCCAAAUUUAACUUCACUUUCAAAGGCAUAUAAGAUGGCCUCCCUACUUGUCCUGCCUAUUUAAAAAAUUUUUAUGACGGUAAAUAAACCCUGGAAAAUUCCUUCUCAGAUUUUACCGCCUGAAACUGCAGCUGUUGGCUGCCACUAUCACAGUCUCACAACUACAAACUCACGUGCAAACCUCAUCAAGGGCAGACAUUUCUAAUUGAUUCCAGAAGUAUGUUUUUUUUUUUUUUUCCUUAGAUCAGGGUGCAAAGGAAGAAUAAUGAGCAGCUUUUCAGAGGGAACUGGGCGUUUGGGUGUUCAGGGGAGGGGGUGGUGCUUUUAAAAUCUCAGGCUUGGCCAGAAAUGCGUGGCAAUUUUACGGUCAAUUGGCGGGAGCAUCUGGAACCAGACAUUCUGGCCUUGAGUUGAUGGUAGGGAAACCAGCUUACAGGCAACAGCAAGCCCAUAAUGAGUCCCUGUCAUGUACUAGUGGAAACCACGUUGACGGUCUGCCAAAUAUCCAUGCGCCUUUUUCUCAGCGACAGGAUUCUCCUUAGAGCCAUUAUCUAGUAUCUGAAAUCUGUCCACUUACAGAUCUUCACCUGUUUUCGCUAUUAAAGACAAUGCAAAAACAAAAGCUAAAAAUUAGAACGUGUAUGUGUUUAAUUCCUUGUGUGCUGACAUGGCUCUAUAUCAUAAGAUUGUGUUUACUUUCAUUUGGGGCAUAUAUUUCAAACGCAGCGGCCAUCUUGUUACUGCAUGGGGAGUGUCGGAUGCGCAGGUCAUAAAUCAUAGCACUGCGCACGGCACACUCAGACGAAAGGAGGUGAAACGCAGGCCCUUUGUUAUUUCAAAUGUAGGACAGGUGAUUAUUUUUAAAAAGGUGGGAAGGGGGCAGGGUUCUUUUUUAAAUGUCCAGCAGAAAACCAAGGGUGGAAAUAACUUCUUAGGAGUAAAUGAUGUUUACUUUAAGCUGCUGCUCGUAAUUCACCACGCUGACGUUGGUAGAUUACAUCCACGAAUAAGUCAUGUAAUAAUAGGACAGCCAUGAAAAAUGUAGAGAUGUGUCAACAGGGUGGAAACUGGUUCCUUGGUGAAGAACAAGCCAUGCAGAAAGCUGGAUUUCUAACAUUCUCAAAUCUCUUUUUAUCCAAACAAUCUAAUUAAUGGGGAUUGUAUUCAUGUUAUAACUCACUCAAAAUUCCUAGGCUUAUGAUGUUAAACUAAAUUCAACAUGUUUGCUCUUAGUUGAUCUACUCUUGGGGGGAAUCCCUGCCUGUUUUCAGACCAAAGUAAAACAAGCACAAAAGCAAGACUAAAUGAAACAAAACUACUCAACUAAAAGAAAAAAGAAAUGUAUUUAAAAUACUUUUUUAAAAAACUCAGUAUUUUUUGGACGUGAAAUUUUUCCGAAAACACCUAUGUUCUGAUGAUUGCAGUAUGUGUGAAUCAGAAAUAUAUAUUAGUGUUGCUCAAAAUAGACAUAAUAUUAAAAUACAUUAAACUGACAGUGAACAAAUAGUAGAAAAUGACAUCUACUUGAACAAAGUAUUAUUUGCAAAAGCAACUGCACUUGUUGGAUGCCUGUGUUGGUACUUUAAAAAUAACAGCAUAUGGGAGAAGGGACAGGUGAGUAAGAAUAUAAGCUAUAUUUGUGUCUUUUAAUUGCCUUAAUAAAGAUGAUGCAUAGAAAACUAUCAUGUAUUAUUCUCUUAGGUGUGGAUUCAGUAUUUUAAAAACCCAUACAAAGCCAAUACAUUUUGGAAAAUUUCAUGUGAUAGUUUGCAAUUUACUGUGUCAAAACUAGUCUUUUAUAAAGCAGAGAAGCAAUACUAUGUUCUAAUAUUGCUUAAUUUUACUUCCAAGUAUUUUGUUGUUCAUGGAAAGAAAAAGUGACCAUUUUUAGAAGGAAUACAGGAAGAGGACAAUGUUUUUUUAAAGGAGACCACAAAUAAAUCACCCCAAAUGGCUUAUUUUCACCUUCAACUUAGCCCCACAACUCAGUCCAUCAGUUAUUUUCUAUGUACCAUUACAGAACAGUAAAAAAUGUGUACAUGAUAGAUGUAUAUCACGAAUGAGAUAAAUAUAUAUACGUGUAUACACGCGUGUAUAUACGUACGCGUGUAUAUACACGCGUGUAUAUAGACGUGUGUAUAUAGACGUGUGUAUACACGUGUGUGUAUACACGUGUGUGUACACACGUGUGUGUAUACACACACGUGUGUGUAUACACACGUGUGUGUAUACACACGUGUGUGUAUACACACGUGUGUAUAUACACACGUGUAUAUAUAUAUAUAUAUAUAUAUAUAUAUAUAUAUAUAUAUAUAGCUCCCCUCAUAGGACCUGCAACAGUAAACAUUUGUUAAUUGCAUGUGAUGGAAUGAUACAUCUUGAGAAAGACUAUACCCUUAUAUUCUAAAAAUAUUCAUAAGGGUGGUAAGUGAAAGAAAACAAUUUUUUAAGUGGCGGGAUACUCAAAUUGAGUUAGAAGUUAAGAAAGAAGAAGAAAUGCAAAGCUUUAUUAUAUUAACACAAAAAUAUCAAAGAGGAUCUGCUAAUAACCCCAGUGUUUACGUUUUACGCUAUUCCCUGAAUUUUUUCUCGUAAUUCACGAGAAUUUGUUUUCUAAAAAUAAAAAUAUAUUAUAUCCUAUAAAAUAUAUUCUCAUAUGUUACAUAAAGGUAAUUUUCAAAUAUGUUAAUUUAUAGCAUAUAAAAGGGAUACAAUCUGGGACUAUGCUAGGAUGAAGUGGCUUAUGCUCACUUAUACAUGGCUAAUGAACAGGUAAAAUGAUAAAUAUUUGGCCUAUUGAAGAGAAGAUUCCUGCACUCACUAACAUAGUACCAUGGACAUAGAUUUUCCAAUGUUUCAGAAAUUUUGAUAUGAUGUAGGGUGAAUUUGGGAUUAAUUUUAAAUGUGAGUAUCCUCCCCUAUACAAGAAUAGAGAAAAAUCAUCAUCUGUGCACUUAAAAUUAAAACAGUAAAUCUUGCUAAAGAAGCCAAUAUUGGCUGGGCACGGUGGCUCACGUCUAUAAUUCCAGCACUAUGGGAGGCCGAGACGGGCGGAUCACAAGGUCAGGAGAUCGAGACCAUCCUGGCUAACACGGUGAAACGCUGUCUCUACUAAAAAUACAAAAAAAUUAGCCAAGCAUGGUGGCGGAUGCCUGUAGUCCCAGCUACUCGGGAGGCUGAGGAAGGAGAACAGCGUGAACCUGGGAGGUGGAGCUUGCAGUGAGCCCAGAUCAUGCCACUGCACACUCCAGCCUGGACAACUGAGUGAGACUCUGUCUCAAAAAAAAAAAAAAAAAAAAGAAGGUAAGAUCAUGGAAUUAAUUCAAAUUAUGUAUUAGCUUAAUAUUUUUGCAUAAUUAUAGCCUGUAUUCAUAACCCUCCCCAGGAGUUGUACAAAUGGAAACUGGUUGUUAGAGGAGGAAUUGUAGCUGGAUAUAUCAGCACUAUAUGGAAAAAAUUGAUGUCUAUCUGAAUUAAUAAUAAUGGAUGGUAUAAUAGUACCAUCUUCAUACAUAAAGGGGAGUAUUGUAUUAUAUGGAAUUAUUCUGUGGAAAUAAAAACCAUUUGCGUGCAGUCCAGGGGUGAUGAGACAAACUACAACCUGGGAGAAGAUACUUUCAAUAAACAUAAAUGACAAAGGACUGAUAUUAUAAUCAUACACAGAAUUUCUAAAAAUCAAGAAAAAGAAAACAAUGGGUAAAAGGUACAAAAAAAUCACAGAAAAGGAAACACAAAUUCCUUCAAACAUAAUGAUCCACCCACUUCAAUAGUAAACAGAAAAUAGUAAUUAGAAAUACAAUCAGAUACUACUUAAUUUCCCAAAUGGACAAUAGGUUAGAAAUCUGACAAUUACAACUUCGGUGAGGAAAGGUCCACUGAUAGAAGGACAUUUUAUAAUCACUUGGAAAACAACUUGGCAUCAGCUAAAGAAUUUAAACAAGCACAUUUGCUACAAUCCAGCAAUUCCCAUCUAGAUGUAUAAACUAGAGAAACUCUACAUACAUGCAAUGUGCACUAGAUGUGUAGAUGAAUUUUUAUUGCAGCAUUGCAAUAGAAAAAAAUAGAAACAAACACUAGAGAAUAGACAGAUAUGUAUAGUCAACAGUGAACCAAUUUACAGGAAUAGAAAUGGAUACAAGUACAGGCAACAAAAAGAAUACAUUUUAAAAAUAAACAUUUUUGCAGAAAUUUUAUAUAGCAUAGGAAACUAUAUAUAAGAAACCAUAUAUAGUAUAUAAGAUACCAUUUUAUUGUACUCACAAAUUUUAAAAAAUGAAAUAAUAUAUUGCUUAAUGAUACCUUGAAGAAAAUCUGAAAAAUUAAAAUCAUGGAAAUGAUAAGCACAAAGUACAAAAUAACUGUUCUAUCUGUGGAAAUAUGAGUGGUAUCACACAGACAGCAGAUAAUACAGUGUUAUUAAUACUUGACUGGUAUUAUAUAAUUUUAUUUAGAAUGGUGUUUAUUUUAUCUUUUAUAAA
rnacentral:lncRNA from 1 species